UACGGAGGGGGCUAGCGUUGUUCGGAAUUACUGGGCGUAAAGCGCACGUAGGCGGCUUUGUAAGUUAGAGGUGAAAGCCCAGGGCUUAACCCUGGAAUUGCCUUUAAGACUGCAUCGCUAGAAUCGUGGAGAGGUGAGUGGAAUUCCGAGUGUAGAGGUGAAAUUCGUAGAUAUUCGGAGGAACACCAGUGGCGAAGGCGGCUCACUGGCCCGGUACUGACGCUGAGGUGCGAAAGCGUGGGGAGCAAACAGG
rnacentral:rRNA from 1 species